rnacentral:rRNA from 1 species
AAGAGUCACUCUAAGGAGACUGCCGGUGACAAACCGGAGGAAGGUGGGGAUGACGUCAAGUCCUCAUGGCCCUUAUGGGUAGGGCUUCACACGUCAUACAAUGGCGGAACAGAGGGUUGCCAACCCGCGAGGGGGAGCUAAUCCCAGAAAACCGAUCGUAGNCCGGAUCGCACUCUGCAACUCGAGUGCGUGAAGCUGGAAUCGCUAGUAAUCGGCGGAUCAGCAUGCNGCGGUGAAUACGUUCCCGGGUCNUGUACACA